UCCCAUCCUUUUUUUUUUUUCACAAGAACCACUGGACUCGCUAAAGGACUAUUGCUUGGGUGAAUGACACUUGUAGCUAGCAUCUCAGCAACUAGUUUUUCUAUUUCAUUCUUCUGGCUGUAACCAUAGUGAUAAGGUCUGGUGUUGACAGGGUGAGUGUUGGGUUGUGGUGGAAUGGCUUGGUUCUAAGGUUGUGAAGGUGGUAGAGAGUUUGGGUCUGAGAAAACAAAGGCAUAUUUUUGAAGAAGUGCCUAUAAUUGAGAGUGUUGGGUGUCAUUGACAUUGGAGUGUGGCAAAGGUGAUGGUGGGGAGGCUGUGUAUUCUAACAAGACAGCGCGAAAUUUGACCUUGGAAGUUUUGAGGGUAAUUGCCGUCUUUUGUUGUGAAGGGCGACUAGUGAGGGUGAUGGUGGAAUUGAGAUGCUGGAUAGACAUGGAAAGGGUUUGCCAAUUGAUCGUUAUAUCGUCCAAAUUUGCCAGUCGUGACUCGUGAAACACCCAAAACCACAUCAAUACUUGCAAAAGAGGAAACACACAACACUUUGGAAAAAUAGUUAGUGGACCCAAAUCAAUUUCCAAAUUUUUUUAACAAGCCAAAGGAAGAGUUAGAUAGCUGUCACUCAAUUUCACAUUAAAAGGCUUUGUAGAAAGGCAGGUAAAUUAAGCACAGAUACCAAAUGAGGGGAAAUAAAACGGUAGUUGGCUCUAUUAUUAACCAUGAAAAUAAUUUGAUGAUUGUGUACAGUACCAAGUAGCUUCAAUGUUUAUGGGUGAGCAAUACCGCCUACUAAGUAAAAAGGCAGCAUCAAUUGACUAAAAUGAGCAUCAAGGAUGUGUGUGAGUAGGGGGGAGAUUGGAGGUUUUCUUUUGAGGUGGUUUCAGAGUGUCUACUGGGUCUUCAUCUUCAGCAGCAAUGAGGGCUCUAAGGGUCUUUGAGAGAUAUUCAUGGAGGGGAAAAUAAGGUCAUUUGCAUCGGAAACACAGACCUUUGGAUUUGGAUUUGAGAUCCUAGUAUUCUUGAUGAGAGUAAUGGCGGAUGUUGCGUGGUUUGGUGUUCGUGGGUGGUGGUAUGCAAGGUGUUGAAUGUGGGGCUGGUAGCGUUUUUGGAGAAAGCUGGUGUGGUGGAGAGGUGUCGACAGGAGAGAUGAGUGGAGGCUUAGGUAUAAUGGGCUAGGCUAAAUUAUAAGGAGGCUUUUGUUGUAGUCUGGGUAAGUUGAAGGAGAAGGGGUAUAACGGCUUGACUUAGUUGUGGAACCCUUUGAGCCCUGUAGAGGAGAUGGGUAUUUCAAGAUACAUGAGAACAAGAAGUCCCUUUCAACUUCUCUCUUUAGAUUCAUGGUGCCCGAGACAAAGCCGGAUUUUUGGCUUAAGACCAUUCAAGAAGUUUUUAAGUUAGUGCAUUUCGGAGAGAGAUGGAAUUUGGGAGGCACAAGCCACAAAUUGAUAUGUAAUUGUCCAUAGUAUCUGUUUGUUGUACAAAAGCUGGUCAUUCAAAAGGAUUAACCAUGUAAUUCGGAUUGUAGUGAGCUAGUUACUCAUUUGAGAGUUGGGUUCAAGUUAGACCAGGUUGAUGUUUCCGACGACAAUGCAACCAGUGGAGUGUGCCAUCCUUCAUGCAGACGAGAGCUAGAGGAAUUUUAAGGUCCGGUUGAGUGGAGUGAAUUUCAAAAUAUUGCUUAGCAUGAGUGAGCCAGCCAAUCACAUUAUUACCAUCAAAAGUUGGGAGCUCCACUUUUUUGAUAGCCAGUGAAGAAUCAUCGAUGUUGACAGGAGGAGGGACUGGUGUAGCAAUAGGUGUGUUUGGUGGAUUCAGCGAGGCAAAGGAAGUAGUGGAGGAAGGUUCGCCUUCGGCCAUAAUGAUUUUACCUUUGGCAAUAGUAGAAAGUAAUUCUUCAAAAGAAGUGAGUUUGGCUUGUGUGCUCUUGUUUUCGAGAUGAAGUUUCAUGACUCCAUCAUCAACUAGAGCAAGGUUCCUCUCACUGUUUCAACUUGUAAUUCCAUCUGUGUAUUUGUCAUCAGGGUCAGACCAAAUUGGUAGAGUAAGGAACCACAACCAUAACAAGAACAGUAAAUAGAACAAGAAAUUAGUGAAGAACGCAGAGAGUUUAAGCUUGAUUGUAUUAACAAAUUAAGAAGUUUAAAACAAGAUACAAGCAAAACAAAAUAGAACAAGUUCCCAACGGCAGCUGUUGUUGCUCACAGGGACAAAUUGCCCCCAAACCUAAAGCUGGACAAGAAAAACAAAAGAAAUCAAAGAUAUGCUCUCCUCAUGCUGCUUUGCCCUUAUUAUACCUUCUCCUAUUUUUCAUGCAGCUUUGUUGUAACUGAAUUCACCACCUCCACAUUUGCUUUAUCUCUUUUGAUUCUUCUGGAAUAAACAUUCCAUUUGCUCUUUGGACCUUGCUGCUGCGUAUCAUAAACUAAAUUAAAACCUAAUUA
rnacentral:misc_RNA from 1 species